GACGAACGCUGGCGGCGUGCUUAACACAUGCAAGUCGAACGGAAAGGCCCUGCUUUUGUGGGGUGCUCGAGUGGCGAACGGGUGAGUAACACGUGAGUAACCUGCCCUUGACUUUGGGAUAACUUCAGGAAACUGGGGCUAAUACCGGAUAGGAGCCCCUGCUGCAUGGUGGGGGUUGGAAAGUUUCGGCGGUUGGGGAUGGACUCGCGGCUAUCAGCUUGUUGGUGGGGUAGUGGCUUACCAAGGCUUUGACGGGUAGCCGGCCUGAGAGGGUGACCGGCCACAUUGGGACUGAGAUACGGCCCAGACUCCUACGGGAGGCAGCAGUGGGGAAUAUUGCACAAUGGGCGGAAGCCUGAUGCAGCAACGCCGCGUGCGGGAUGACGGCCUUCGGGUUGUAAACCGCUUUCGCCUGUGACGAAGCGUGAGUGACGGUAAUGGGUAAAGAAGCACCGGCUAACUACGUG
rnacentral:rRNA from 1 species